rnacentral:rRNA from 1 species
UACAGAGGGUGCGAGCGUUAAUCGGAAUUACUGGGCGUAAAGCGCACGUAGGCGGCUUGGUAUGUCGGGUGUGAAAUCCCCGGGCUCAACCUGGGAACUGCAUCCGAAACUGCCUUGCUAGAGUAUGGGAGAGGGAAGUGGAAUUUCCGGUGUAGCGGUGAAAUGCGUAGAUAUCGGAAGGAACAUCAGUGGCGAAGGCGACUACCUGGCCUGUUCUUGACGCUGAGGCGCGAAAGCUAGGGGAGCAAACGGG